GAGCUGACCAGCACUGGUGACCAUGGAAUCCCAGAAUUGCAAGAGCUCCAGAAUGGACCGAAUGGGAGGUACUGCAUCUGACCGCUGUAUGAGACGACGAAUCUGUGCUAGCCGAACUCCAUUCCAAAAGACAAAAUGCUGGAAUAUUCGAAGAAAAAUCUCCAAGGGCAUGAAGGAC